AUGGCAUUCCACGACGAGGCGCCGCUGCUGCUCAGGAUCAACACCGCCAGAGGCGGCCACAUGGGCGGAGGCGAGUGCGACGAGGCGGAGAACCAGCGGUGGCCGCCGUGGCUCAAGCCGCUGCUGGCGACCAGCUUCUUCGGGCAAUGCAAGAUGCACGCCGACGCCCACAAGUGCGAGUGCAACAUGUACUGCCUCGACUGCGUCAACGGCGCGCUCUGCUCCCAGUGCCUCGCCUACCACCACGGCCACCACGCCAUCCAGAUAAGGAGGUCCUCGUACCACGACGUGAUCCGCGUGUCGGAGAUCCAGAAGGUGCUGGACAUCACCGGCGUGCAGACCUACAUCAUCAACAGCGCGCGCGUGGUGUUCCUCAACGAGCGCCCGCAGCCCAGGCCCGGCAAGGGCGUCACCAACACCUGCGACGUCUGCGAGCGCAGCCUCCUCGACACCUUCCGCUUCUGCUCCCUCGGAUGCAAGAUCGUAGGCACCUCCGGCGAGUUCCGCGGCCGGAAGAGGCACGCCGGCGGCAAGAAGAUGAAGCUGAAGCUGAAGAAGGCGGCGGCGUCGGACUCGGACGACUCGUCCACCAUCACCAGCGGCGGGAGCGACAAGAGCAGCGUGGUGCAGAGCUUCUCCCCGUCGACCCCGCCGGCCACCGCCAACAGCUACCGCUCCGCCAAGCGGCGCAAGGGCAUCCCGCACCGCUCGCCCUUCGGCAGCCUCAUCGUGGAGUUCUAG
rnacentral:rRNA from 1 species